UCUAAAGUGCACUCCACUCUACACUACACUCAGGGCUCUAAAGUGCACUCCACUACACACUCUACACUACACUCAGGGCUCUAAAGUGCACUCCACUACACACUACACUCAGGGCUCUAAAGUGCACUCCACUCUACACUACACUCAGGGCUCUAAAGUGCACUCCACUACACACUCUACACUCAGGGCUCUAAAGUGCACUCCACUACACACUACACUCAGGGCUCUAAAGUGCACUCCACUACACACUACACUCAGGGCUCUAAAGUGCACUCCACUACACACUCUACACUACACUCAGGGCUCUAAAGUGCACUCCACUCCACACUACACUCAGGGCUCUAAAGUGCACUCCACUACACACUCUACACUACACUCAGGGCUCUAAAGUGCACUCCACUCCACACUACACUCAGGGCUCUAAAGCGCACUCCACUACUACUAUUUUAGUUGCAUAUGCUCCUAAAUAUUUUGCUGAGAGAAUCUGGAAUUUGUAUUAGGGCGCAUCGGUGAGAAAAACUAAACCCAGAAUAAUUGUUGUCGGGCUUCGCUGUACCGCUGCCUCUGAGUGUCAUACGCCCCGGACCCGGAAAACAAAUCAAGAGUACCUAUAGGCCUAUGGCUGGCCAAUCAGAUGGUUCAGAUUACGGUGUCUGCAGUCUCCUUGAACGCACAGCAAAUGUGAUACUCUGAGAUUAAAAAACCUUUUAAAACCAGUCCUAGAGACUGUCAACGAAUUCAGCAACGAGCUGCUGUUUUUAGGAGUAACUUCAUGUUGGUUGUUAUUCAUCACUGUCAACACUUUUAUGAGCCAUAAAAUGUGUGUUUUCCUGCUCACACUGCAGAUGAAUGUAUAGCCAGCAGCAUACCACCCUGCAUACAUACCACUGCUGGCUUGCUUCUGAAGCUAAGCAGGGUUUGUCCUGGUCAGUCCCUGGAUGGGAGACCAGAUGCUGCUGGAAGUGGUGUUGGAGGGCCAGUAGGAGGCACUCUUUCCUCUGGUGUAAAUAAUAUCCCAAUGCCCCAGGGCAGUGAUUGGGGACACUGCCCUGUGUAGGGUGUCGUCUUUCAGAUGGGACGUUAAACGGGUGUCCUGACUCUCUGAGGUCAUUAAAGAUCCCAUGGUACUUAUCGUAAGAGUAGGGGUGUUAACCCCGGUGUCCUGACUCUCUGAGGUCAUUAAAGAUCCCGUGGCACUUAUCGUAAGAGUAAGAGUAGGGGUGUUAACCCCGGUGUCCUGGCUAAAUUCCCAAUCUGGCCCUCAAAACAUCACGGUCACUAAUAAUCCCCAGUUUACAAUUGGCUCAUUCAUCCCCCUCCUCUCCCCUGUAACUAAUCCCCAGGUCGUUGCUGCAAAUGAGAACGUGUUCUCAGUCAAUUUACCUGGUAAAAUAAUGGAUAAAUAAAAUAGCAAAGUCUUCUGAUUACCUCGCCUUGUCUUUUUGAUAUCGAGGAGGCAGAAAUGUCAAAUCAAAUCACAUUUUAUUAGGCCACAUACAACACGUAUUACAGUGAAAUGUUUACCUACGAGCCCCUAACCAACAACGCAGUUUAAAAAAUAUAUGAAUAAGAAAUAAAAAGUAACAAGUAAUUAAAGAGCAGCAGUAAAAUAGCGAGACUAAAUACAGGGGGAUACCGAUACAGAGUCUAUGUGCUGGGGGCACCGGUUAGUUGAGGUAAUAUGUACAUGUAGCUAGAGGUAAAGUGACUAUGAUAAUAACAGAGAGUAGCAGCAGUGUAAAGGUGGGGGUCAAUGCAAAUAGUCUGGGUAGCCAUUUGAUUAGCUGUUCAGGAGUCUUAUGGCUUGGGGGUAGAAGCUGUUUAGAAGCCUCUUGGACCUAGACUUGGCACUCCAGUACCGUUUGCCGUGCGGUAGCAGAGAGAACAGUCUAUGACUAGGGUGGCUAGAGUCGUUGACCAUUUUUAGGGCCUUCCUCUGACACCGCCUUGUGUAGAGGUCCUGGAUAGCAGGAAGCUUGGCCCCACUGAUGUACUGGGCCGUUCGCACUACCCUCUGUAGUGCCUUGUGGUCGGAGGCUGAGCAGUUGCCAUACCAGGCGGUGAUGCAGCCAGUCAGGAUGCUCUCGAUGGUGCAGCUGUAGAACCUUUUGAGGAUCUGAGGACCCAUGCCAAAUCCUUUCAGUCUCCUGAGGGGGAAUAGGUUUUGUCCUGCCCUCUUCACGACUGUCUCCUGAGGGGGAAUAGGUUUUGUCGUGCCCUCUUCACGACUGUCUCCUGAGGGGGAAUAGGUUUUGUCGUGCCCUCUUCACGACUGUCUCCUGAGGGGGAAUAGGUUUUGUCGUGCCCUCUUCACGACUGUCUCCUGAGGGGGAAUAGGUUUUGUCGUGCCCUCUUCACGACUGUCUCCUGAGGGGGAAUAGGUUUUGUCGUGCCCUCUUCACGACUGUCUCCUGAGGGGGAAUAGGUUUUGUCGUGCCCUCUUCACGACUGUCUCCUGAGGGGGAAUAGGUUUUGUCGUGCCCUCUUCACGACUGUCUCCUGAGGGGGAAUAGGUUUUGUCGUGCCCUCUUCACGACUGUCUCCUGAGGGGGAAUAGGUUUUGUCGUGCCCUCUUCACGACUGUCUCCUGAGGGGGAAUAGGUUUUGUCGUGCCCUCUUCACGACUGUCUCCUGAGGGGGAAUAGGUUUUGUCGUGCCCUCUUCACGACUGUCUCCUGAGGGGGAAUAGGUUUUGUCGUGCCCUCUUCACGACUGUCUCCUGAGGGGGAAUAGGUUUUGUCGUGCCCUCUUCACGACUGUCUCCUGAGGGGGAAUAGGUUUUGUCGUGCCCUCUUCACGACUGUCUCCUGAGGGGGAAUAGGUUUUGUCGUGCCCUCUUCACGACUGUCUCCUGAGGGGGAAUAGGUUUUGUCGUGCCCUCUUCACGACUGUCUCCUGAGGGGGAAUAGGUUUUGUCGUGCCCUCUUCACGACUGUCUCCUGAGGGGGAAUAGGUUUUGUCGUGCCCUCUUCACGACUGUCUCCUGAGGGGGAAUAGGUUUUGUCGUGCCCUCUUCACGACUGUCUCCUGAGGGGGAAUAGGUUUUGUCGUGCCCUCUUCACGACUGUCUCCUGAGGGGGAAUAGGUUUUGUCCUGCCCUCUUCACAACUGUCUCCUGGGGGGGGAAUAGGUUUUGUCCUGCCCUCUUCACAACUGUCUUAGUGUGUUUGGUCCGUGUUAGUUUGUUGGUGAUGUGGCCACCAAGGAACUUGGCGGCAACAUUAUGUACAAAAUAAGUAAAAAAAAAAAAAAAACAUUACAAACAACGCAAAUAAACGAACAAAAAACACAAUUGGUUGGGGACACGGAAAAACAUCAGCUUUCUUCUCCGGUGACAUCUUUGUAAAAAAGAAUGCGGUGCGACUCGAGUUUCGUUGUCAGCUGGAAGACAGUGACCCUUUUGGUCAGUUUCAGUGGAGGGAGGGACAGAUGUGAGAGGAAGAUCCUCUGCUGCUCUCUCUCCCUCCCUCUGCUGAAACUGUCCAUCAGAUGCAGGCACCAUUAAAAUCAGCUGUGCCUCACAAGUAAUAGAAGAAUUGUCUAUUGUCUAUCUAUUACUGGUGUGAUUAAUGUAUGUCAAGUUAAAUGGUCUGAGAAGAACAACAUUGGCGGAGCAAUUCAAGCAUAGCCAAUGUACGGUGAUGAUGUAUUGGGCAGGGUGUUAAAACAAUGUUUUAAAAUGGUAAUUUGUUUUCUAGCACACAGCAUGUGCUUCAAAAGUAGCUCCAUUUCAUAUAGGCCCAAUAGAGGCCCAAUAGAGGC